AUUGAACGCUGGCGGCAGGCCUAACACAUGCAAGUCGAACGAAUGGCGGCCGGGUGAGUAAUGUCUGGGAAACUGCCUGAUGGAGGGGGAUAACUACGGGAAACGGUAGCUAAUACCGCAUACCAUCAGAUGUGCCCAGAUGGGAUUAGCUUGUUGGUGGGGUAACGGGUCACCUAGGCGACAAUCCCUAGCUGGUCUGAGAGGAUGACCAUCCAUACUGUAACUGAGACACGGUCCAGACUCCUACGUGAGGCAGGAGUGGGGAAUAUUGCACAAGGGGCGCAAGCCAGAUGCAGCCAGGCCGCGUGUAUGAAGAAGGCCUUCGGGUUGUAAAGUACUUUAAUCGGGGAGGCGUUACCCGCAGAAGAAGCACCGGCUAACUCCGUGCAAGCAGCCGCGGUAAUUC
rnacentral:rRNA from 1 species